UGGGGCGUGUGGUGCCUCGUCGCGGGCUGUAAAGGAGCGAACUUCGGCAGCCUACUAAGGCCCCGGUGUGGGACUUGAGUGCAGGAAACCCCUGAGCCUUCCCAGACCCCCGCUUCCCGAUUCCCUCGCCGGGAUGGGGCGGGAGAGCACUCGCCAGGUGCUCCACGUUGGCUACGACUCCCUGCCCUCAGCCUCCCUGCUCUCAGCGUGGCCUAAAUUCGCUUCCAGCCCUGGAGAGAAUCUUAGCAAAUAAACUAGGGGCCUGUUUACAAAAUUUACCAUUGCCAAAGCGACUGCAAUGCACGAGGCGCUUUGGGUGAAAUAGAAGAGGCGGCAUUGUCCCCGUUUGACGGAAGAGGAAACUGAGGCUCGGGCGCGCGACCAGAACCAGGCCUUUCCUGUUGCUGAUCUCAGCCCCUGCACCGGGUGGCCGUUCUAUGCUCCUGCAGCCCCAGCGGCCCGGCCCUUUCGCUCACACGCUCCUCCGCCCCCUUUGGAAGUCCGUUACCCUCCAGCGUUUCAGACCCAGUUUAACCUGAGGAAAAUCUAGAGUCUGCGCUCUAGACAAGCGAUGGCACAUAACCAGUGCGGGAAGCAGCCCCAAGGUACGGCGCCUUGGACCCUGAGGAAGCACCAGAAGCAGCAAGCCUUUCUGACCUUCUCUUGUUCCUUCUACCCUGAAGCAGGUCAUAGAAACUGGGCCAUAAAACCUAGGAAGGUCACUCUGACCUUCUCCCCUGAAGACUCUUACGGGACAGAUGUCCUUCCAUAUCCAAAAGGAAAGGAUCUCACAAACAGUGCCAAGAAUUAAAUCAAUAGGCCUUGCUAAGUUCCUCCUAGUAUAUUACCAUUUUUAUAUUACUUUUUGUCUUCUGAUCAUAGUUUUGCAUGACAGCCCAUCAAAACACGAAUCUUCUGUUUCUUAAGGACUUCAUUUCUGAAGGCUUUCUUGUCAUAAAACUUGGGUUAAAUACAUUUUUGUGAUUUUC